ACAUGACCCCUCACAAGGAGCAGGGCAAACUCGUCCAGUAAAUUCAGGGAAGUUGUUUGUCUCAAGUAAUCGAUCCAAUGCUUCGCGCCAUCUGUUCUGGUGAACUAAUUCAUUGAAUUCUGGGAUUUUAUUUCCAAGAGGGCAACCAGCACCUGAGCUUUCCUGUGAAAGUAAAAUAAAAAUGUUACAAAAAGAGUUCCAAAAUCUUAUCAUCAGUAGAUAAGAGAAGGACCAAACAAGUCGCAUUAGAAGUAUACUGUAGAGAAACAACAACUUCAAUUCAGCAACUGAAUCUGAAUACAGAAAAUGUAUCCAUCUUAACAAUGAUGGAAAGAGAAUUAAAAUAUAUACUGCCUUUGUCCUGAAAUUUAAGGUAUUGAAACAUUCAAAUUGUCCUAAAUUAUAAGGUAUUCUAGGUGAAUUAACUCCCACAAAGCCACAAUCACAUCCGUACCUGCCAUUAGUGCCUACCACUACAUGUCAUGCAUGUUCUCAAAAAAAAAAUAGUGUUUAUCGCCAAGCUCAAAAUAUGGUAAGCACAAAGUCUAUCUAUUGUUAAGGAGGGUUACAUGCGCCAUAUGCAUUACACAUAAUUUGUCCUAAAAUUCCUAGGAUUCCUUAUAUUUCAGGAUGGAGAGAGUAUAAAAUAAUAAACAGCAAAAAUAGAAAUAUCACCUGAUGACAGAAAGGAGUGCCACAGUCCAUGCAACGAGCAGAUUGUGUAUUUAAUAGUGGGCCAGGUGUUGAUUCAAUUGCAACUUCCUUCCAAUCUUUAACACGCUCUUUUGGAUCUCUGUAAGAAAUACUCUCUCGCUCAUAUGUAAUAAAACCUCGAUACUUUUUGGCAUUGGCAACACGUGUUGGUCGGCUUGCUGACUGAUCAGGUUGUACUUUCUGUACAUGAAAGUUGAUACAAGUAGUCAAUGAGAGCUUCCAAGUAUUGGAAUUCAAUUAUUAGCUGUUCUGAUGAAUAAACAUUUGUGCAAGAAUUUAAUUCUCUAUUGAAUGAAUACGAAAUCAUAAAUAAACUAGAAAUGUUUAGGUAUGAUGAAUUCACAAUAGCUAAGUAGGAAUCCGUGAUAUGAAAAAUGAAACAGAGUUGCCACUUGAAAAUGCAUCUCACCUUAGUUGUCACAGAAAUUCCAUUUGCCACCUUAGGCUCCUUUGCAUGCUUAGCAACAGCCUUUUCCGCCUUCAUGUUUUCUAAAACCCUCUUAUAAUCCCUUGGAUAUACUUUUACAAAUUUUGGAAGAAGAUUAUCAAAAUCGGAGAGUAUGUCUCUAGCCAAAACACUCUCAGUGUUGCGACGAUGUUGCUCAAUCAUCAUUUUCAAUGUGAUGAUGUCAUCCUCUUCCUCCACAUGAUAUAGGUCAACUAACUCAUUGUUGCAGCGAGCACUGAAUUUCCCAUCAACAUCAUAAACAUAGGCAAUGCCUCCACUCAUGCCAGCAGCAAAGUUCCGCCCUGUU
rnacentral:lncRNA from 1 species